GGUUUUUCAACUUCUCUGACAAUAUGGGUCAUGCCAGCUUUAUAUCCAAGGAAAGCUGUCAACCUGCAAGGUUUCGUUGGAUCAUCUUUGGGGAAAGCCUUCACUUUUCCUCUGUGUCGCGCAGCUCUUUUCCUUGGAAGAAAUCCCAAAGAACCAUGUCUUGGGUGCUCAAACUUACGAUGCGACAUUUUUCCUACCUCAGAGAACUGACGGAAUCGGC
rnacentral:misc_RNA from 1 species